rnacentral:rRNA from 1 species
AGUGAACGCUGGCGGUAGGCCUAACACAUGCAAGUCGAACGGCAGCACAGUAAGAGCUUGCUCUUACGGGUGGCGAGUGGCGGACGGGUGAGGAAUACAUCGGAAUCUACUUUUUCGUGGGGGAUAACGUAGGGAAACUUACGCUAAUACCGCAUACGACCUACGGGUGAAAGCAGGGGAUCUUCGGACCUUGCGCGAUUGAAUGAGCCGAUGUCGGAUUAGCUAGUUGGCGGGGUAAAGGCCCACCAAGGCGACGAUCCGUAGCUGGUCUGAGAGGAUGAUCAGCCACACUGGAACUGAGACACGGUCCGGACUCCUACGGGAGGCAGCAGUGGGGAAUAUUGGACAAUGGGCGCAAGCCUGAUCCAGCCAUACCGCGUGGGUGAAGAAGGCCUGCGGGUUGUAAAGCCCUUUUGUUGGGAAAGAAAAGCAGCAGGUUAAUACCCCGCUGUUCUGACGGUACCCAAAGAAUAAGCACCGGCUAACUUCGU